CAGGUUGGUCUUCAGCGUCAACAUCUUCUACGUUCAUGUCAACACUCAAUGGUAAUGGCACAGCAUCUGCCUCAUCACUGUCUGCCUCAGUGUAUCUCCUUGAAGGCCCUCUCAUAACCACAUACCAAUUUGAAGACUCGUCCUCUCUGGAAUAGAAUAUUUGCUUAGCUUGAGAUGCCAGAAUGAAUGGAUCCCUUGCGAAAGAGACUUGACUUUGGUUCAAGUUGACCAACGUAAAACCUUCGUCCACCUUCACACCGUUGCCUCUGACCGC
rnacentral:lncRNA from 1 species